rnacentral:rRNA from 1 species
AAAAAUGUGAAUUAUUAAACUAAAUUAUUAAUAGAUAUGUUCUUGAAAAUUAAAAAUUUUGGCGGUAUUUUAGUCUAUUCAGAGGAAUCUGUUCUAUAAUUGAUAUUCCACAAUAAAAAUUACUUUUAUUAAUUAGUUUGUAUAUCAUCGUAUAAAAAUAUUUUAAUAGAAUAAUAAUAUUUAAAAUUUUAUUAAGAAAAUAAAUCAGAUCAAGGUGCAGCUUAUAUAAAAGGAAGAAAUGGAUUACAUUAAUUUAAAUUAUGGAUAUUUAAUUUAAAAUUAAAUUGAAAUUGGAUUUGAAAGUAAUUUUUUAUUUAUAAAAAAAUGAUUUUAGCUCUAAAAUAUGC